GCUGGCGGCGUGCCUAACACAUGCAAGUCGUACGAGUAAAUCCCGAGCUUGCUUGGGAGAGUAAAGUGGCGCACGGGUGAGUAACGCGUGGGUAACCCACCUUCGAAUCUGGGAUAACUUCGCGAAAGCGAAGCUAAUACCGGAUAAGACCACAGCCGCUUCGGCGGCAGAGGUUAAAGCUGACCUCUCCAUGGAAGUUAGCGUUCGAGGACGGGCCCGCGUCCUAUCAGCUUGUUGGUGGGGUAAAGGCCUACCAAGGCAGCGACGGGUAGCUGGUCUGAGAGGAUGAUCAGCCACACUGGAACUGGAACACGGUCCAGACUCCUACGGGAGGCAGCAGUGAGGAAUUUUGCGCAAUGGGCGAAAGCCUGACGCAGCAACGCCGCGUGGGUGAAGAAGGCUUUCGGGUCGUAAAGCCCUGUCAGGUGGGAAGAAACCCUUCAGCACUAAUAAUGCUGAAGCCUGACGG
rnacentral:rRNA from 1 species